ACGGAAGGCAGCAGUGGGGAAUAUUGCACAAUGGGCGAAAGCCUGAUGCAGCGACGUCGCGUGAAGGAUGAAGUAUUUCGGUAUGUAAACUUCUAUCAGCAGGGAAGAUAAUGACGGUACCUGACUAAGAAGCCCUGGCUAACUACGUGCCAGCAGCCGCGGUAAUACGUAGGGGGGCAAGCGUUAUCCGGAUUUACUGGGUGUAAAGGGAGCGUAGACGGCAUGGCAAGCCAGAUGUGAAAACCCGGGGCUCAACCCCGGGACUGCAUUUGGAACUGUCAAGCUAGAGUCUCGGAGAGGCAAGUGGAAUUCCUAGUGUAGCGGUGAAAUGCGUAGAUAUUAGGAGGAACACCAGUGGCGAAGGCGGCUUGCUGGACGAGUACUGACGUUCAGGCUCGAAAGCGUGGGGAGCAAACAGGAUUAGAUACCCUGGUA
rnacentral:rRNA from 1 species